rnacentral:rRNA from 1 species
AAUCCUGGCUCAGGACGAACGCUGGCGGCGUGCAUAACACAUGCAAGUCGAGCGGAGACAGUGAGUAGCUUGCUAUGAGCUGUUUUAGCGGCGGACGGGUGAGUAACGCGUGAGCAACCUUUCCCAGACAGGGGAAUAACACACCGAAAGGUGUACUAAUACCACAUAAGACCACGGGAUCACAUGGUUCUGAGGUAAAAGAUUUAUCGGUUUGGGGUGGCUCGCGUCCGAUUAGGGUAGUUGGUGAGGUAACCGG